AAUUUGAUCUGAAAUCAGGCGGAAAUAAUACUUUUUUUAAAUUUGAUCUGAAAUCAGGCGGGAUUACCCGCUGAAAU
rnacentral:rRNA from 1 species